GCAGUAGCUCAUUGGCAGAGCGCUUGCCUAGCAUGUGUGAGGCACUGGGUUCGAUCCUCAGCACUGCA
rnacentral:tRNA from 1 species